GACGAACCGUGCGAACGUUGUUCGGAAUCACUGGGCGUAAAGCGCACGUAGGCGGACUGUUAAGUCGGGGGUGAAAUCCUGGAGCUCAACUCCAGAACUGCCUUUGAUACUGAGGAUCUUGAGUUCGGGAGAGGUGAGUGGAACUGCGAGUGUAGAGGUGAAAUUCGUAGAUAUUCGCAAGAACACCAGUGGCGAAGGCGGCUCACUGGCCCGAUACUGACGCUGAGGCACGAAAGCGUGGGGAGCAAACAGG
rnacentral:rRNA from 1 species